CCGCUCUCUUCCCAGUUCUCACAGUCUCGCUCUCUGCACCCCCAGCGCCGGCGAGACCGUUCCUCCCACCACCUCGCAGCGCCGCGAAGCCUUCCUCCCAACGCCGCCGAAUCUUUCCUCCCACUGCUCCCAGGACCUCCUCGCGGACAGAGAGAGCACCACCCUCGCACAGUCGCACCCAGCAGGCCAGCAGUAGCACAGCACCACCCACUCACCCAGGACCACCCAGCGGACAGAGCACCACGCCACCACCUAGAACAGCACCACGCCACCACCCAGCAGCGUUUCUGGCCACCCACAACACAACACCUCCCACCCAGUCACCGAUUCAAGUCAGAGAUGGAGCCCGAGCCACUGAGUCAGGUAUAAAGGUGGACCAGCAUUACCGAGGAAGUUGAUCUCGCAGGGUGCUGCACAGAAGGACUGAUGCCAGAGAUAACAGUAUGUUAACUGUAAAAUUAAGCAAAAAGGCGAACAUAAGGGAACUAUAUGAAUUGGUGUGCAAAAUCAAAGGAGUAGAACAAUAAAAGUAUUGUGGAUAUUGUGCAACACGUCCCCACGUGUUGGCUAAGAUACUGCCACGUGUCGAACACGCCCUCACGUGUUGGCCAGAAUGCUGCCAUGUGUCCAACACGCCCUUACGUGUUGCAACACACCCCCACGUGUUGACAACCCACCUAAAAAAUCCACUCAUCUGUAAUUACACCAAAUACUUCCAUUUUCAAUAAAAACACCAGUAUUUUUUUCAUAUAAAAAAAAAA